rnacentral:rRNA from 1 species
AUGAUGAGUCCAAAAAUGCAUCAUGUUUUACUUCUAAUUUUGUACCGUGGUUAUAGGAUUCGUCGGAAUUUUACCGCGGUCGCACACCUUUUUAUUGAUUUUAAUAGGAUCCUUAACAUGGAGGAGUCAUUGAGGCAAAUUAAAGAAAUCUUGAGAUAUGGUGUGACAAUAACGUUGAUUUACAUGACAAAAACAUACCAGGAAAGGCACAGGUCAAGAAAGGCGGAAACCAGCCGCAACAGGGAUUCCAUGGGAGAAGACAACAUACGGUACGAGCAUGCAUGCUCGUACCAGCUGCCGCCACCGCCUGUUCAACUAUUUUAA